rnacentral:rRNA from 1 species
UACGUAGGGCGCAAGCGUUGUCCGGAAUUAUUGGGCGUAAAGAGCUCGUAGGCGGUUUGUCGCGUCUGCUGUGAAAACCUAAGGCUCAACCUCGGGCCUGCAGUGGGUACGGGCAGACUAGAGUGCGGUAGGGGAGAUUGGAAUUCCUGGUGUAGCGGUGAAAUGCGCAGAUAUCAGGAGGAACACCUAUGGCGAAGGCAGCUCACUGGGACGGUACUGACGCUGAGGCGCGAAAGCGUGGGGGAGCAAACAGG